AUUGAACGCUGGCGGCAUGCCUUACACAUGCAAGUCGAACGGCAGCACGGGAGCAAUCCUGGUGGCGAGUGGCGAACGGGUGAGUAAAGUAUCGGAACGUGCCCAGUCGUGGGGGAUAACGUAGCGAAAGUUACGCUAAUACCGCAUACGAUCUAUGGAUGAAAGCGGGGGAUCGCAAGACCUCGCGCGAUUGGAGCGGCCGAUAUAAGAUUCGGUAGUUGGUGGGGUAAAGGCCCACGAAGCCGACGAUCUGUAGCUGGGCUGAGAGGACGACCAGCCAGACUGGGACUGAGACACGGCCCAGACUCCUACGGGAGGCAGCAGUGGGGAAUUUUGGACAAUGGGCGAAAGCCUGAUCCAGCCAUGCCGCGUGCAGGAUGAAGGCCUUCGGGUUGUAAACUGCUUUUGUACGGAACGAAAAGGACUGCCCUAAUACGGUGGUCCCAUGACGGUACCGUAAGAAUAAGCACCGGCUAACUACGUGCCAGCCGCCGCAGUAA
rnacentral:rRNA from 1 species